CGUUCUAAGUGCAGUGAAGUCAGACCGGAAGGACUGGUGGAGCGCUUAGAAGUGAGAAUGCCGGUAUGAGUAGCGAAAGACGGGUGAGAAUCCCGUCCACCGAAUGCCUAAGGUUUCCUGAGGAAGGCUCGUCCGCUCAGGGUUAGUCAGGACCUAAGCCGAGGCCGACAGGCGUAGGCGAUGGACAACAGGUUGAUAUUCCUGUACCACCUCUUUAUCGUUUGAGCAAUGGAGGGACGCAGAAGGAUAGAAGAAGCGUGCGAUUGGUUGUGCACGUCCAAGCAGUUAGGCUGAUAA
rnacentral:rRNA from 1 species